AGUGAACGCAGGCGGCAGGCUUAACACAUGCAAGUCGAACGAGAUCUUCGGAUCUAGUGGCAGACGGGUGAGGAACACGUGGGAACAUCCCUUUCAGUUCGGAAUAACGUUGGGAAACUAACGCUAAUACCGGAUACGUCCUUCGGGAGAAAGAUUUAUCGCUGAAAGAUUGGCCCGCGUCUGAUUAGCUAGUUGGUGAGGUAAUGGCUCACCAAGGCUACGAUCAGUAGCUGAUCUGAGAGGAUGAUCAGCCACAUUGGGACUGAGACACGGCCCAAACUCCUACGGGAGGCAGCAGUGGGGAAUAUUGGACAAUGGGCGCAAGCCUGAUCCAGCCAUGCCGCGUGAGUGAUGACGGCCUUCGGGUUGUAAAGCUCUUUUAUAGUGACAUGAAGUCAAAAUGAAUAAGCAACUACUAACUACGUGCCAGCAGCCGCAGUAA
rnacentral:rRNA from 1 species